rnacentral:rRNA from 1 species
AGAGUUUGAUCAUGGCUCAGGAUGAACGCUAGCUACAGGCUUAACACAUGCAAGUCGAGGGGAAACGAUAUUGGAAGCUUGCUUCCGAUAGGCGUCGACCGGCGCACGGGUGAGUAACGCGUAUCCAACCUGCCCACCACUUGGGGAUAACCUUGCGAAAGUAAGACCAAUACCCAAUGAUAUCUCUAGAAGACAUCUGAAAGAGAUUAAAGAUUUAUCGGUGAUGGAUGGGGAUGCGUCUGAUUAGCUUGUUGGCGGGGUAACGGCCACCAAGGCGACGAUCAGUAGGGGUUCUGAGAGGAACGGUCCCCCANAUUGGAACUGAGACACGGUCCAAACUCCUACGGGAGCA